GGUUGACCUCGGAUCAGGUAGGGAUACCCGCUGAACUUAAGCAUAUCAAUCAGCGGAGGAAAAGAAACCAACCGGGAUUGCCCUAGUAACGGCGAGUGAAGCGGCAAGAGCUCAAAUUUGAAAGCUGGCCCCCUCGGGGCCCGCAUUGUAAUUUGCAGAGGAUGCUUCGGGCGUGGCCCCUGUCUAAGUGCCCUGGAACGGGCCGUCAGAGAGGGUGAGAAUCCCGUAUGGGAUGGGGUGCCCACGCCCGUGUGAAGCUCCUUCGACGAGUCGAGUUGUUUGGGAAUGCAGCUCUAAAUGGGUGGUAAAUUUCAUCUAAAGCUAAAUAUUGGCCGGAGACCGAUAGCGCACAAGUAGAGUGAUCGAAAGAUGAAAAGCACUUUGAAAAGAGAGUUAAAAAGCACGUGAAAUUGUUGAAAGGGAAGCGCUUGCGACCAGACUCGCCCCAGGGGUUCAACCGGCUUUCGGGCCGGUGUACUUCCCCCGGGGCGGGCCAGCGUCGGUUUUGGCGGCCGGUCAAAGGCCCCUGGAAUGUAACGCCUCUCGGGGCGUCUUAUAGCCAGGGGUGCCAUGCGGCCCGCCGGGACCGAGGAACGCGCUUCGGCUCGGACGCUGGCAUAAUGGUCGUAAGCGACC
rnacentral:rRNA from 1 species